AGAGUUUGAUCAUGGCUCAGGAUGAACGCUAGCGGCAGGCUUAAUACAUGCAAGUCGAGGGGCAACAGGGGUAGCGAUACCUGCUGGCGACCGGCAAACGGGUGCGCAACACGUACAGAACCUUCCUUUAAGCGGGGGAUAGCCCAGAGAAAUUUGGAUUAAUACCCCAUGGUAUUAUCAGGUGGCAUCAUCUGAUAAUUAAAGAUUUAUCACUUAGAGAUGGCUGUGCGUCUGAUUAGGUAGUUGGUUGGGGUAAUGGCCCACCAAGCCUUCGAUCAGUAACUGGUGUGAGAGCACGACCAGUCACACGGGCACUGAGACACGGGCCCGACUCCUACGGGAGGCAGCAGUAAGGAAUAUUGGUCAAUGGACGCAAGUCUGAACCAGCCAUGCCGCGUGAAGGAUGAAGGUCCUCUGGAUUGUAAACUUCUUUUAUGUGGGAAGAAAUGCAUUCUUUAUAGAGUGUUUGACGGUACCAUAGGAAUAAGCACCGGCUAACUCCGUGCCAGCAGCCGCGGUAAUACGGAGGGUGCGAGCGUUAUCCGGAUUCACUGGGUUUAAAGGGUGCGUAGGUGGGGAAGUAAGUCAGUGGUGAAAUCUCCGUGCUUAACAUGGAAACUGCCAUUGAUACUAUUUUUCUUGAAUUUUCCGGAGGUUAGCGGAAUAUGUCAUGUAGCGGUGAAAUGCUUAGAUAUGACAUAGAACACCAAUUGCGAAGGCAGCUAACUACAGGGAUAUUGACACUGAGGCACGAAAGCGUGGGGAUCAAACAGGAUUAGAUACCCUGGUAGUCC
rnacentral:rRNA from 1 species